GACGAACGCUGGCGGCGUGCUUAACACAUGCAAGUCGAACGCUGAAGCUCAGCUUUUGUUGGGUGGAUGAGUGGCGAACGGGUGAGUAACACGUGAGUAACCUGCCCCCUUCUUUGGGAUAACGCCCGGAAACGGGUGCUAAUACUGGAUAUUCACUGGUCUUCGCAUGGGGGUUGGUGGAAAGGGUUUUUCUGGUGGGGGAUGGGCUCGCGGCCUAUCAGCUUGUUGGUGGGGUGAUGGCCUACCAAGGCUUUGACGGGUAGCCGGCCUGAGAGGGUGACCGGUAACAUUGGGACUGAGAUACGGCCCAGACUCCUACGGGAGGCAGCAGUGGGGAAUAAUGCAAAAUGGGCGCAAGCCUGAUGCAGCGACGCCGCGUGAGGGAUGGAGGCCUUCGGGUUGUGAACCUCUUUCGCUCAUGGUCAAGCCGCAACAAUGGUUGUGGUGAGGGUAGUGGGUAAAGAAGCGCCGGCUAACUACGUG
rnacentral:rRNA from 1 species